GAUGAACGCUGGCGGCGUGCCUAAUACAUGCAAGUCGAGCGAACGGACGAGAAGCUUGCUUCUCUGAUGUUAGCGGCGGACGGGUGAGUAACACGUGGAUAACCUACCUAUAAGACUGGGAAAACUUCGGGAAACGGGAGCUAAUACCGGAUAAUAUCUUGAACCGCAUGGUUCAAAAGUGAAAGACGGCCUUGCUGUCACUAAUAGAUGCAUCCCCGCUGCAUGAGCUAGUUGGGACGGUAACGGCCUACCAAGGCAAGGAUGCAUAGCCGACCUGGGAGGGGGAUCGGCCACACUGGAACUGGGACACGGUCCAGACUCCUACGGGAGGCAGCAGUAGGGAAUCUUCCGCAGUGGGGGAAAGCCUGACGGAGCAAGGCCGCGUGAGAGAUAAAGGUCUUCGGUUCGUAAAACUCUGUUGUUGGGGAGAAACAUAUGUGGAAGUAACUGUGCACAUCUUGACGGUACCUAAUCAGAAAGCCACGGCUAACUACGUG
rnacentral:rRNA from 1 species